rnacentral:rRNA from 1 species
GACGAACGCUGGCGGCGUGCCUAAUACAUGCAAGUCGAACGCAGUGGGGACGGGUGAGUAACACGUGGGUAACCUCCCAUCAGAGGGGAUAACACUUGGAAACAGGUGCUAAACCGAUACUGAUGGAUGGACCCGCGGUGCAUUAGCUGGUUGGUGAGGUAACGGCUCACCAAGGCCACGAUGCAUAGCAGACCUUGGAGGGUGCUCGGCCACACUGGGAGUGAGACACGGCCCAGACUCCUACGGGAGGCAGCAAUAGGGAAUCUUCGGCCAUGUACGAAAGGCUGCCCGAGCAACGCCGCGUGAGUGAAGAAGGUUUACAGAUCGUAAAACUCUGUUGUUAGAGAAGCGGUAGCUAACCAGAAAGCCACGGCUAACUACGUGCCAGCAACCGCGGUAAUAC